UAUAGCGUCGCAAACAUGGAGCAAAAUAAAGAGAAAAUGCGGCAUAUUUUACAGUACUACUACGAUAAAGGCAAAAAUGCAUCUCAAGCCGCCAAUAAAAUUUGUGCAGUUUAUGGACCCGAUACAAUUUCCAUUUCCACCGCACAACGAUGGUUUCAACGUUUUCGCCUGUCGUCGAAAAUUGCGAUAAAAUCGCUGAAUUGGUCGAAAGAGACCGGCAUAGUAGCAGCCGUAGCAUCGGUCAAGAGCUGGGCAUGAGUCAUCAAAAAUUCAUUUCAAUUUCAAUAAAAAAAAAAUU